rnacentral:rRNA from 1 species
UACGUAGGGCGCAAGCGUUGUCCGGAAUUAUUGGGCGUAAAGAGCUCGUAGGCGGCUUGUCACGUCGGAUGUGAAAGCCCGAGGCUUAACCUCGGGUCUGCAUUCGAUACGGGCUAGCUAGAGUGUGGUAGGGGGAGAUCGGAAUUCCUGGUGUAGCGGUGAAAUGCGCAGAUAUCAGGAGGAACACCGGUGGCGAAGGCGGGUCUCUGGGCCGAUACUGACGCUGAGGAGCGAAAGCGUGGGGAGCGAACAGG